GAGCCUGGGUUGUAACGCGUUGUGGACCAGGACGUUGACGGUCACGUGUUGAUCCAGUAACUCGAACACGUUCCACCAACCUUACAAUAGUGGACUGAUGACAAUUGAAGUGUCUGGCAAUAGCACGUGUAGACAUGCCAGCCCUGGACAUUCCCAUGGCUUCAUUCCGUUGAUUUUCAGGGCGAGUUCCGGUAUAGGACAGGGUAUAGCUGUUCAUCUAGCUCCGUAUAAACCCAAGCUUGUUCUAGCUGCUAGGAACAUCACAGGUUUAGAGGUUACACGUUCACAAUGUGAACAACUUGGACUAUCUGCAAAUAACAUUCUGACAGUACAAUGUGAUGUAAGUAAAGAUGAUAAUCUACAGGAUUUAGUUGAUACAACAAUAAAAUCAUUUGAUUCUAUUUAUGGAUUGGUUAAUAAUGCUGGAUAUGUUACAAAAGCAAAUAUUGAAGAGACAGACAUGAAAGAUUAUGAUGGAAUUAUGAGAGUCAAUCUCAGAGCUCCAUUUUAUUUGUCCAAACUUUGUCUACCACAUCUAAAAAAAUCUAAAGGUUGUGUGGUCAACAUUUCCAGUAUAUCUUCAAAGAAAGGGUCUACUGAAUUUGCAUCGUAUUGUCUAAGUAAAGCAGCCCUGGACCACUUUACACAUCUGCUAGCAGCAGAAAUUGGACCAUCUGGAGUUAGAGUAAACAGUGUCAAUCCUGGUUACAUUUCAACACUAAUCUUAAAAAAAAAUGGAUUUUCAGAAGAGAAAAUAGCGGAGAUGGGAGCUGGGAUCCUAACAACCACUCCGCUGAGAAGAUUAGGCGAAACAAAAGAUGUUGCAAAACUGGUCAAAUUUCUUCUCUCAGACGAAUCUUCAUACAUAACAGGGGAGAUAAUUUCGGUUGAUGGAGGAACAGUUAAUCCUGUGUUUUCUUAAUUCGAACUCUUAUACGGAUACGACACAUCUCAAUUAGUAGCAAAUAUUUACAUUCGUAAUCCAGCUAUAUGUGUAAUUGUCCAAUAAUCUUCUUAUUUAAAAACAAAACAAUUUAAAUCAGUGAUGAGGGCAUCAGCAUAUAUUCUAUACUUUAUAACAUACACAAUAAAAUUAAAUAUCACCUGC